UAAAUACAAGGCUGACCCUAGGUCAGAACCUCCUGCCCUGCCAAGUCCUUACUUAGCUUUCAGGACUGCCAAACAGUUCAGCCACUGUAAGAGUUAAAUGGUGUACCAGGCCAGAAGAAUUGACCUGGUUUAAAUAUUGGCAGGAAUGGUGCCAGGGGCUCAGCUGAGGCUGUCUGUCCUCUGUUUCCCACUGACCUAGUCAACACGCAGCACUGGACCAUAAAAGGUCUUGAGAACACUGUGUAGGGUUUCGUUCCCCACUUGCACACAGCAGGGCAUGAUCAAUAUUUGUUAACUGACGACAGUGAAAAGGAGGCAGAGAGGAGGCACGAGUCUUUGACCGCACCACUUAGCCCUGAUCUGUGGAGCUGUUCAAUAACCUGGUGGAAGGUGCUGAACUCUGAGACCUUGCAGCCUGAAGACUCCAGGGAGCCAGAAUGUCAGCAGCCUGGGGGGCUGAUUAAGGGAAGCAAACGUCUUACGCGUUUUGCCCAUCCCAUUCCCUGCUGUCCCCCGGCGCGGAUGGAGGGAGGAACGGACACGAGGAAUCAAGCUGCAUCUUUGCCGGGUACCCGACCAUUACGUACAGGAAAGCUCUGCACAGCCUCUGGGCGAGGUGUGACUUGUCCCCAGGACCCUCCCCUUGAUCCCAACUCUAGACACACACAUCCUGUGCUGACCACUCCCUACUCCCAGAAGGGACCAGGCAUUUCCAUGGCUCUUCAGUUCCACCCUCGAACGCCCACUAAAGUGUCAUGUCCUCUGUAAAACUCCCUCAACCCACCUCCCUGCUCCUCCCCUACUCCAAAAAAAAACAGACUCUAUUCCUUUUGGGAUCCCUUUGUCCAUAUUCGGCAAUACUGCUUGGCAAUCAGCAGCAGGGCCCCUCGAGGGCAAAGUGAUGAUCUGAUCUCCUUUGCCUGCCCCAGCACCACACGCAGCACCUCACACACAGGAAACGCUCAACGAAUAUUUGCGAAUGAAAUUGUUUCGAGUCUUUCCUAUGCAAAAGAGCCACCAAUGAAUCCUUGUCUCCUCUUAAGCCUGUGGUCCUCCCAGAGACACUGGAUUUGUCUGGCUUGUGGCUUGUGGCCAGGCUGCCUCAGAACAAGCCAGGACACUGAUCAGUUUCACAAGGUGCGCACACGUGCCCCCAACGGCGAGGGCUGCAGUGGACAUGAUGGAGAACAAGACAACAUGGUGAUAGCAGAGUCCACCUCAUCAGGGCUGUCUACGUGAGGGUCUGUUUCUGUGGAAACCAGUGAAGGACUGAGUUUUGCAUCAGCUAUGACCUGGCAAAACAAAUGAAACCACUCUUAGAAGGGAGCGUCCGCGGAGCAUGGGGCGCCUAGGUGGCACCAACUCUUUGAUUUUGGCUCAGCUCGUGAUCCCAGGGUUGUGGGAUCAAGCCCCGCAUCGGACUCUGUGCUGUGCCUGGAGCCUGCUUUGGAUUCUCCCUCUCCCUCUGUGCCUCUCCCCUACUCCUGUGCGGCCUCUCUCUCAAAAAUAAAAAUAAGUGGGAGCCCA
rnacentral:lncRNA from 1 species